rnacentral:lncRNA from 1 species
GUGAGAUCAGGGUUGGGGAAGGACAUUUUGAGGGUGCUGGCAGGCCCUCUGUGGUUUGGGAAUGCCUACUCACUAGCUCUUGGGACAGUAGAGAGCCUGGGAAGGAAGGCAACAGCUGUGUGUGGGGAGAGUAUCGCUAGAGGCUCAUCUUGUAUUUUCCAUCUGUUUCUGUCUCCAGGACGCCAGCAGUCUGUCUCUGCAUAGAUGCAGCUGAGUGACUCCAGUCCUUUUGUGGGGCCGAAGACCAUGGCCAGGCCUUGCUUCCACCUGCGCCUGCAGCAUGAUGAGAAAUCACCGCCCACCAUGGCUCCCAGCCAGUCAGUUGCGGAACACGGUCUCACUCAGCAGUGGACAACAGGAUAAGAAUAAAGGAUGUUUUAAAAAA